AGUAAGGUGGCUGAAGUUUAGGCCGUAAAUUGUAAAUUUAUGCAUGGUUAAUUACCCCUUAUUA
rnacentral:tRNA from 1 species